GAAUAUUGGACAAUGGGGGCAACACUGAUCCAGCCAUGCCGCGUGUGUGAAGAAGGCCUUUUGGGUGUAAAGCACUUUAAGCAGCGAAGAAGACUCCAUGGUUAAUACCCAUGGACGAUGACAUUAGCUGCAGAAUAAGCUGCGGCUAACACUGUUCCAUCAGCCGCGGUAAUACAGAGGAUGCAAGCGUUAAUCGGAAUUACUGGGCGUAAAGCGAGCGUAGGUGGCUUGAUAAGUCAGAUGUGAAAUCCCCGGGCUUAACCUGGGAACUGCAUCUGAUACUGUUAGGCUAGAAUAGGUGAGAGGAAGGUAGAAUUCCAGGUGUAGCGGUGAAAUGCGUAGAGAUCUGGAGGAAUACCGAUGGCGAAGGCAGCCUUCUGGCAUCAUAUUGACACUGAUGUUCGAAAGCGUGGGUAGCAAAC
rnacentral:rRNA from 1 species